rnacentral:lncRNA from 1 species
AAAUUAUUUCAUAAACUAAAACCACCAUUUUCCCAAAGCUCUGUAGAUCACAUGCAAUUAUAAAAUCAAAGCUCCUAAUAUCAAAUCUAGGAGCCACUGUCUUCUGACUUGGGAAGAUUAGACAUUCCUGUGCAAGCACUCAAUCCGUUGCUGUUUUAAAUACAAAAUACUCUGGAGCAUUUCAGGUUGGCAAGUUUACAGUUCCAAACAGCUUUGGAAGAGCUUUACAACACAGAUAUUUACAUUUGGUGUUAGAUUCAGUUGUAGUUCCUCUCACUCUUCAUCAGGAGGAACUGAUGGCUCAGUUUCAGAAGUGACAGCUUCCUUAUCUUCAGAAUUUUUGUCUGCUGGCUUAUCUUGUUCCACCUCACACAGAUACACGUCAAUGGGUCCUUUUGUGCUCUUUACAUGUACUUUGAUGCAAUCCUCUUUAGGAAUCGGUAUUUCCAGUCUGGUUUCUUCUGGAGCUUUGAUUGCAAUCACAAUCUGUUUUUGAAAUGCCUGAAUGCUACGGAUAUCUUGGUACGUCACAUAAGCUAGUUUUGCAUUUUCUUUGUCAUCUGUUAGAUCAAAUAACUGAUGAGCACAAUCCUUGAUUAAUUCAUCCAGAGCUUCUUCCAUGGCUGACAAGUCAGAAAGUUCAUCUUUAAGGUUUUGCCGCUGUGCUGCCAUUUCAACAACUUGGUCAAGAUUAGAAC